AGGGUUUGAUUAUGGCUCAGGAUGAACGCUGGCGGCGUGCUUAACACAUGCAAGUCGAGCGAAGCACUUAUGGAGAUUCUUCGGAUGAUCCAUUUGUGACUGAGCGGCGGACGGGUGAGUAACGCGUGAGUAACCUGCCUCAUACAGGGGAAUAACAGUUAGAAAUGACUGCUAAUGCCGCAUAAGCGCACAGGACCACAUGGUCUGGUGUGAAAAACUCCGGUGGUAUGAGAUGGACUCGCGUCUGAUUAGCUAGUUGGUGAGGUAACGGCCCACCAAGGCGACGAUCAGUAGCCGGCCUGAGAGGGUGAACGGCCACAUUGGGACUGAGACACGGCCCAA
rnacentral:rRNA from 1 species